UCGAACGGGCUGGAGUAGCAAUACUUCAGUUAGUGGCGCACGGGUGCGUAACGCGUAUGCAACCUACCUUUUAUUGGGGGAUAGCCCGAAGAAAUUCGGAUUAAUACCGCAUAAUAUCCUUUGAGGGCACCUGAAGAGGAUUAAAGCUACGGCGAUAAAAGAUGGGCAUGCGUGUCAUUAGCUAGUUGGUGGAGGUAACGGCUCACCAAGGCAACGAUGACUAGGGGUUCUGAGAGGAUGAUCCCCCACACUGGUACUGAGAUACGGACCAGACUCCUACGGGAGGCAGCAGUAGGGAAUAUUGGGCAAUGGAGGCAACUCUGACCCAGCCAUGCCGCGUGCAGGAUGAAGGCCUUCUGGGUUGUAAACUGCUUUUAUCUAGGAAGAAAAAACCUUUGCGAAGGGAACUGACGGUACUAGAUGAAUAAGCACCGGCUAACUCCGUGCCAGCAGCCGCGGUAAUACGGAGAGUGCAAGCGUUGUCCGGAUUUAUUGGGUUUAAAGGGUGCGUAGGCGGCUUGGUAAGUCCGUGGUGAAAGCCAACAGCUCAACUGUUGAACUGCCAUGGAUACUGCCAGGCUUGAGUACAG
rnacentral:rRNA from 1 species